CACGUAGGGUGCGAGCGUUGUCCGGAAUUAUUGGGCGUAAAGAGCUCGUAGGCGGUGUGUCGCGUCGGCCGUGAAAACCUGCAGCUUAACUGUGGGCUUGCAGCUGAUACGGGCAGGCUUGAGUUCGGUAGGGGAGACUGGAAUUCCUGGUGUAGCGGUGAAAUGCGCAGAUAUCAGGAGGAACACCGGUGGCGAAGGCGGGUCUCUGGGACGUGACUGACGCUGAGACGCGAAAGCGUGGGGAGCAAACAGG
rnacentral:rRNA from 1 species